rnacentral:rRNA from 1 species
GAUUUCUGGUUCGAUGCGUUUGGCCCUCUCGGAGCAAUCCGGCGUGCGUGCCGAUGCGCGUCUGCCAUCCCUUGUAGAGAACGUUUCUACCCUUCACUGGGCCGGAUUCGCAAUCUACAUCUUUUACUUUGAAAAAAUUAGAGUGUUUAAAGCAGGCUUGCGCUAUGAAUACAUUAGCAUGGAAUAAUAAUUUAGGACUUUAUUCCUAUUUAUUGGUUUCUGGAGUAGAGUAAUGAUUGAUAGGGAUAGUUGGGGGUGCUAGUAUUCAUCGGCCAGAGGUGAAAUUCUUGGAUUCGAUGAAGACUAACUAAUGCGAAAGCAUU